UGCCCUUAAUCAGCUUUUCAGUUCAGUUUUAUUGGUUGCACGCACAGUCAGUUAUUUCAUCCAGAAAAUCUGAAGGCCCUACAAACUAACCAGGGUAGCUCUUCUUUGGAGCAAUCCACCAGCUGCCUUGAAUGGAUAUUAAUGUGAAGAAAUGAAAAUUGCUUCUACUUUAAAGACUUUGGAUAUGAUUUAAGAAGCCAAGCAUAUAUAUGAAGUCAGAUAACAAGUUUAUUGUACAACUCAAUGUGGUGGAAAUGAAUGCAAAGCACUUCCAAGACACAGAGAAAUCCAUUCAAGUGAGGCUAGCCACCCCCCAGUCCCUGGAGACACUGUGUAAAUGGAAACAGGAACAGCUCAUUGAGAACAGUCUUCUGGAGACUUCUCACAAGGCCACUAGAUGGCAUGAAAGCACUGUACUGGACCUGAUCAGCUACAGUGCAAUGUGCAACCGAGGCGUUUAUCCUCCUGCUGAGAGCUCAGUGUUUAGUCAAACGGUCCCUUGAGACUUCUAGAAGUUCUUUAAAGUCAAGGUCAUCCUUUUGAAGAUACACUGACUCAAAAAGAGGUACCUUUUUA
rnacentral:lncRNA from 1 species